AGAGCGAACGCUGGCGGCAGGCCUAACACAUGCAAGUCGAGCGCCCGUAGCAAUACGGGAGCGGCAGACGGGAUAGUAACACGUGGGAACGCGCCCUUCGGUUCGGAAUAACUCAGGGAAACUUGAGCUAAUACCGGAUACGCCCUUACGGGGAAAGAUUUAUUGCCGAAGGAACGGCCCGCGUCCGAUUAGCUAGUUGGUGAGGUAAUGGCUCACCAAGGCGACGAUCGGUAGCUGGUCUGAGAGGAUGACCAGCAUCACUGGGACUGAGACACGGCCCAGACUCCUACGGGAGGCAGCAGUGGGGAAUAUUGGACAAUGGGCGCAAGCCUGAUCCAGCCAUGCCGCGUGGAUGAUGAAGGCCUUAGGGUGUAAAGUCCUUUUAACGGGGAAGAUAAUGACGGUACCCGUAGAAUAAGCCCCGGCUAACUUCGCGCCAGCAGCCGC
rnacentral:rRNA from 1 species